CAAGUUCCCAGGAGAGGGGCUGGGCCUCUCCAGGCAGGAACUGGAGCCAGAGGCUUCCCCUGCUACUCGCUGGGAUAGAAGAACAUCAGGAAUGACUUUCAGUGCAGUAGUUCCUGUGGUGCUCGCAGAAGCCACGCGGCUUGGGUGCAAUCAAACUGCGGCCCAGCCUCAUCCCGGCAGGAAUCCAGAUGCAGGCCAAGUACAGCAGCACAAGGGACAUGCUGGAUGACGAUGGGGACACCGUCGUGAGUGUGCAUUCUCGAGCCUCGUCUCCAAGCCAGCAGCCAGAGGCUGGACGCAAAGGGCACCGGCCUCCCUCUUCAGUUUGGCGACCAGUGGCCCUGACCUUGCUGACUCUGUGUUUGGUGCUACUGCUUGGCCUGUUGGCCCUGGGGCUUGUGUUUUUCCAGUUCUACCAGCUUUCCAACACUCAGCAAGACAGCAUUUCUAACAAGGAAGAAAGAUUGGCGAAUCUCUCCCGACAGCUGCAGUCUCUCCAGACAAAGAACAGGAAGCUUGCAGAAAUUCUGCAGCGCGUGGCUGAAAAACUGUGUCGUGAGCUGUAUAACAAAACUGGAGAACACAGAUGCAGCCCUUGUCCAGAAAAAUGGAAAUGGCAUGGGGACAAAUGCUACCGAUUCUGUAGAGACAGCAAGAGUUGGCAAGGCUGUGAAUAUUUCUGCCUUGCAGAGAACGCCACCAUGCUGAAGAUAAACACGCAGGAAGUGCUGGAGUUUGCCAUGCCUCAGAGCUACUCUGAGUUUUUCUACUCUUAUUGGACAGGGCUAUCCCGCAAUGGCAGCAGACAGGCGUGGCUAUGGACCGACGGAACCCCGUAUUCCUCUGAACUGUUUGAGAUUAUAAUAGAUUUCACCAGCCUAAGAAGCAGGGACUGUGUGACCAUCCUCAAUGGGAAGGCUUUCUCAAAGGACUGCAAAGAGUUGAGGCGGUGUGCGUGUGAAAGAAGGGCUGAAGCAGUGAAGCUUGAGAGCCUCCAUUAGCCUCUCUGAGCCAUUAGGUGGAAGUGAUUGACUCUUCCGCCAUAAAGGUGAUGUCAAGCUCCCUUCAGGGAAAUUGAAGAUCAGAACAAAAGUCAAUUUCUUUAUGGGCACCUGUAAUAAUUUGGUUUCAGUUCCUUUUUUUCUCCUAUUGGAGCCAUGUUUGUACAACAAAGCAGCAAAAUGAUUUGAGCCAAGCAAGGUCAUUGCAAAGGAUAUUUGAGACAUUGGGAAAUGGGAAAAAAGGAGGAAAGGCAGUUUCUCUGACAGGUACAAGAAGCACUUGCCUGUUUCCUGCUCAAGAUCGCCAGCAUUUCUGAGCUUGGGUUCAUGCAAAUGUUUAUGAGUCACAAAGAAGUCCUACCUGCAUACCACCCACCAGUCGCAGACUUUCGUAAAGUUGUAAUCUACCUUCUUGACCUAGAGAUGCUUUCCAGCGUUCUUCCUUCUCAUCAUCUAAUAUCAUCUGCCUUUUGCCAUGUCUUCCUUAAUAUUUGGAGAAGUGAGAAACUUACUGAAGUAGAGGAAAUAAAGGUGCCCUCCUCAAUCAGCUACUUUGUAAAGGGAUUCUUGUCAUUUUCGCAGAAUGCAAAAACCAUCGUUAUUUGAUUUACAGUGUACAUAACUUUUUUACAACGUUCAGCAGAAAAUUAGAGAAAAAUCCCUGUUAUUGAAAAGCCCACCGUUUAAACUCCAGGUCAAGGAUUACAAGAUACUUUCAUAUCUUGUGUCUUGGCAACAAGCUGAUCUAUGUACAAGGAGCCUGCAGACCUAGGAUUCAGAUUGUCUAUAGAUUUAUUUGAAGAGAGUCAUUAACUUUAAAACAGAUAUUUUGUCUAGACAGUUCCUGACAUUUAUAUAUAAACUUUAGCUUCUCGAUAUUCCUGUAACCCGCGCAGGAAAAAGGGUCAUGUUUAUCUAGACUACAUUAAUAAAGUUGAUGCCUACAGAUGA